rnacentral:rRNA from 1 species
CGUUAGACGACAGAACGAAGACACCGGCGUAACUACCGUGCCAGCAGACCGCCGGUAAUACGGACGGGUGCGAGCGUUAAUACGGAAUUACUGGGCGUAAAGCGCAUGCAGGUGGUUUGUUAAGUUCAGAUGUGAAAGACCCGGGGCGUCAACCUCGGAAUAGCAUUUGAAACUGGCAGACUAGAGUACUGUAGAGGGGGGUAGGAAGUUUCAGGUGUAGCGGUGAAAUGCGUAGAGAUCUGAAGGAAUACCGGUGGCGAAGGCGGCCCCCUCGGACAGAUACUGACACUCAGAUGCGAAAGCGUGGGGAGCAAACAGGAUUAGAUACCCUGGUAG